GCACUCCCACCCCUAGCCGCCCAAACCAGCCCUCUCCUUUCUCCUUCUCCUACACGAUAGAACAGCAGGCGUCAGCUUCUUCCUCCCUGGUUCCCCACGGCGGCCAGCAGGGAGCAAGCCAGCAGCCAGGGCGUCCAUCCCUUCCUCCCUCCUCUGCGCAAGCCUGCUCCAGCCGCUCCCAGCAGCCAUGGCGUGGCGCCCCCUUGCUCCUUCCUCACACAGCGGCAGCCAGCGCCUGUUCAUCUUCCUCCCUGUUUGCCCCUAGCCGAACUCCCCUACAGAAGCUCCCCACGGCAGCAGGCAUGGAGGUCGGCUCGAGCACAACCUCCUUGCUCCCUUCCAUGUCCGUCCGUGGCACCUCCCCCUGCUUUUCUGGUUGGGCGCACAGGAAUCCGGCAACCCUGCACGUCCCCUCCAAUGGCGCCCUCCCCUGCUCCUCUCUUCCCCACAAAACAGCAGCAGCUCGCCCACCUUCCCUCGCUGCGCAGCCCCUCGGCGAAACGCCGCUGUUCCUGCAGCCCCGACACCUUCCCUGGCUUCCUCGCUGCUAGCGCUGCGCGCGUGCCGCGUGUUCGGCAAGCUAUCCAAGUGGGGUGUUGAGCAGUGAGCAGCGCGCCGUCGACGCCCGCCGUGUGCUCGCUGUUUUGCGCAGCCCAUCCGCGACGCCGUCAAAACCCGUGCUAGCCGUCAAUGCCAUCCGUCGCGCACGCGUGUUCGAUGCGAGGCCGGUCGGGUGAACCACAUGCAUGCACAACUCAAAUCCGAUCCCGUUCAGGACCGAGAGAUGAUGAUCGAGCCAGUGAUGUGGUGCCAACCACAAGACGCAGUUGGUGGACGACCUGAAGAAUGGACUUAACCAGUGGAUACUCGCCAAGCGAGUACCUCCCCCAGCAAACACUAUCUAAGUGUUAAAAAUAAAAGGCAA